GUCGAACGGUAACAGGGAGCUUGCUCCGCUGACGAGUGGCGAACGGGUGAGUAAUAUAUCGGAACGUACCCAAGAGUGGGGGAUAACGUAGCGAAAGUUACGCUAAUACCGCAUACGAUCCAAGGAUGAAAGCAGGGGACCUUCGGGCCUUGUGCUCCUGGAGCGGCCGAUAUCUGAUUAGCUAGUUGGUGAGGUAAAGGCUCACCAAGGCGACGAUCAGUAGCUGGUCUGAGAGGACGACCAGCCACACUGGAACUGAGACACGGUCCAGACUCCUACGGGAGGCAGCAGUGGGGAAUUUUGGACAAUGGGCGCAAGCCUGAUCCAGCAAUGCCGCGUGAGUGAAGAAGGCCUUCGGGUUGUAAAGCUCUUUUGUCAGGGAAGAAACGGCUGUGGCUAAUAUCCACGGCUAAUGACGGUACCUGAAGAAUAAGCACCGGCUAACUACGUGCCAGCAGCCGCGGUAAUACGUAGGGUGCAAGCGUUAAUCGGAAUUACUGGGCGUAAAGCGUGCGCAGGCGGUUUUGUAAGUCUGUCGUGAAAUCCCCGGGCUCAACCUGGGAAUUGCGAUGGAGACUGCAAGGCUAGAAUCUGGCAGAGGGGGGUAGAAUUCCACGUGUAGCAGUGAAAUGCGUAGAGAUGUGGAGGAACACCGAUGGCGAAGGCAGCCCCCUGGGUCAAGAUUGACGCUCAUGCACGAAAGCGUGGGGAGCAAACAGGAUUAGAUACCCUGGUAGUCCACGCCCUAAACGAUGUCUACUAGUUGUCGGGUUUUAAUUAACUUGGUAACGCAGCUAACGCGUGAAGUAGACCGCCUGGGGAGUACGGUCGCAAGAUUAAAACUCAAAGGAAUUGACGGGGACCCGUACAAGCGGUGGAUGAUGUGGAUUAAUUCGAUGCAACGCGAAAAACCUUACCUACCCUUGACAUGUCAGGAAUGCCGAAGAGAUUUGGCAGUGCCCGAAAGGGAACCUGA
rnacentral:rRNA from 1 species